AGUGAACGCUGGCGGUAGGCCUAACACAUGCAAGUCGAACGGCAGCACAGUAAGAGCUUGCUCUUACGGGUGGCGAGUGGCGGACGGGUGAGGAAUACAUCGGAAUCUACUUUUUCGUGGGGGAUAACGAAGGGAAACUUACGCUAAUACCGCAUACGACCUACGGGUGAAAGCAGGGGAUCUUCGGACCUUGCGCGAUUGAAUGAGCCGAUGUCGGAUUAGCUAGUUGGCGGGGUAAAGGCCCACCAAGGCGACGAUCCGUAGCUGGUCUGAGAGGAUGAUCAGCCACACUGGGACUGAGACACGGUCCAGAGUCCUACGGGAGGCAGCAGUGGGGAAUAUUGGACAAUGGGCGCAAGCCUGAUCCAGCCAUACCGCGUGGGUGAAGAAGGCCUUCGGGUUGUAAAGCCCUUUUGUUGGGAAAGAAAAGCAGCAGGUUAAUACCCCGCUGUUCUGACGGUACCCAAAGAAUAAGCACCGGCUAACUUCGUG
rnacentral:rRNA from 1 species